UGAGGAAUAAUGGACAAUGGGCGCAAGCCUGAUCCAGCCAUGCCGCGUGCAGGAAGAAGCAUCUAUGGUGUGUAAACUGCUUUUGUACGGGAAGAAACACUCCUUCGUGAAGGAGCUUGACGGUACCGUAAGAAUAAGGAUCGGCUAACUCCGUUCCAGCAGCCGCGGUAAUACGGAGGAUCCAAGCGUUAUCCGGAAUCAUUUGGUUUAAAGUGUCCGUAGGCGGUUUAGUAAGUCAGUGGUGAAAGCCCAGCGCUCAACGAUGGAACGGCCAUUGAUACUGCUAGACUUGAAUUAUAAGGAAGUAAGUAGAAUAUGUAGUGUAGCGGUGAAAUGCUUAGAUAUUACGUGGAAUACCAAUUGCGAAGGCGGGUUACUGCUAGAGGAUUGACGCUGAUGGACGAAAGCGUGGGGAGCGAACA
rnacentral:rRNA from 1 species